AAAGGAUGCUAUUUAGCAUUUAUGACUGAGUCCUGUGUGCUUUGCACUUCUUCUCAGUGGAUGAGUUGGCUGCUACAGCUGUUGCCUGGGGCCCCGUGCCAUCCCAGCAAGUGCCAAUCUGGUGCUUUGCUGGCCAGUAGAGGCUAGUGCUGCUCAGAGAGUGAAACUGCGGUCCCUCUCCUCCUUCCAUCUCCUUGGACCACAUUCAGCAGAAAAAGAAAACAUUUGCAGACAGUUCUUAUACCCAGAAGUGCUGCGGUGGCCUGUGUCAGUGUGGGGCACCCAGGCCCUCCCAGCCAGGCUGGGCCUGCUCUGCUCUGCAGGUUGGAGGGGAGGUGGGCCACUCAGAUGGCAGUGUGCUGUGGGUGCGACCAAAGUGCUGGCUGGGAACACUGCCCCAGCUCCAGCAGUGCUUAGUGUGGAAAUAUUUCAGUUUUCAGGCAUUAGGGGGUGAGGAGCCCUCAGCAGUCCAACUCUGGCUUGGGCCCCAGUACGUAGCACAGGGUAUGAGCUACCUACUCACCAGCUGGCAUCCAAAAGGACACCUGCACCUGCAGUUUUCUGCUGUAAUUCAAGAAAAUGUAUACAGCAGUCACUCUACAGGCAAGUCUGUAGGCAAAACGGACUAG
rnacentral:lncRNA from 1 species